GAAACUUAAAGGAAUUGGCGGGGGAGCACUGCAACGGGUGGAGCGUGCGGUUUAAUUGGAUUCAACGCCGGAAAUCUCACCGGAGGCGACGGUUAUAUGAAGGCCAGGCUGAUGACCUUGCCUGAUUUUCCGAGAAGUGGUGCAUGGCCGUCGUCAGUUCGUACCGUGAGGCGUUCUGUUAAGUCAGACAACGAACGAGACCCUCGUCUUUAGUUGCUACUAGUAAGUCCGCUUACUAAGCACACUAAAGAAACCGCUGGCGAUAAGUCAGAGGAAGGUGAGGGCAACGGUAGGUCAGUAUGCCCCGAAUCCUCCGGGCUACACGCGCGCUACAAAGGCUAGGACAAUGGGCUUCAACACCGAAAGGUGACGGUAAUCCCGAAACCUAGUCGUAGUUCAGAUUGAGGAUUGAAGCUCAUCCUCAUGAAGCUGGAAUCCGUAGUAAUCGCGGAUCAACAUCCCGCGGUGAAUAUGCCCCUGCUCCUUGCACACACCGCCCGUCAAACCAUGCGAGUUGGGUCUAAGUGAGGAUGUAGUUUUUGUUACAUUCAAACUUAGGCUUAGUAAGCGGGGUUAAGUCGUAACAA
rnacentral:rRNA from 1 species